AGGCAGUGACACCGAGCCCAGCCUCCUCCUCCACCCCCCACCACGCUCAGGCCCCCCUCCCUCCCCGCCACCACCGUCCGCGUUUGGCCGGCCGUGGGGAAGGAAGAAAGGAGCCAAGGGAGGCGAGGCAUGGAUCCGCAGCCUCCUCCACCCGCCCAGGGCAGCCCGCCUCACCGUGGCCGAGGCCGUGGCCGUGGCCGAGGCCGUGGUCGAGGCCGUGGCCGUGGCAGGGGGGGCGCUGGAGCCCCUCGGGCACCCCUGCCCUGCCCCACCUGCGGCCGCCUCUUCCGUUUCCCCUACUACCUCUCCCGGCACCGGCUGAGCCACUCUGGGCUCCGGCCCCAUGCUUGCCCGCUGUGCCCCAAGGCCUUCCGCCGGCCGGCCCACCUCUCCCGCCACCUGCGCGGCCACGGGCCCCAGCCCCCGCUGCGCUGCGCCGCCUGCCCCCGCACCUUCCCGGAACCCGCCCAGCUCAGGCGCCACCUGGCUCAGGAGCACGCGGGCGGCGAGGUCGAGCUGGCCAUCGAGAGGGUGGCCAAGGAGACGGCCGAGCCCAGCUGGGGCCCGCAGGACCAGGGCUCGGAGCAGCCCACCACGGCUGCAGCGGGGGCCACGGAGGAGGAGGCGGCCGCGGCAUGGCCUGAGACGUGGCCUGCGGGGGAGCCGGCCACGCUGGCAGCGCCCACCAGCGCCGCGGAGCCCCGGGAGUCGGCGUCAGAGGAGGCCGAGGCCGGGGCAGCAGAGCUGAGGGCCGAGCUGGCGCUGGCGGCCGGACGGCAGGAGGAGAAACAGGUCCUGCUCCAGGCGGACUGGACGCUGCUGUGCCUGCGCUGCCGCGAAGCCUUCGCCACCAAGGGCGAGCUCAAGGCGCACCCGUGUCUGCGCCCCGAGGGCGAACAGGAGGGUGAAGGGGGGCCUCCGCCACGCCCCAAGCGACACCAGUGCUCCAUCUGCCUCAAGGCCUUCGCCAGGCCCUGGUCCCUGUCGCGCCACCGGCUGGUCCACUCCACCGACCGCCCUUUCGUGUGCCCAGACUGCGGCCUGGCCUUCCGCCUCGCCUCCUACCUCCGCCAGCACCGCCGCGUCCACGGCCCGCUCAGCCUGCUGGCCCCGCUGCCCGCGGCGGGCAAGAAGGACGACAAGGCCUCAGGUGCACGGAACUCAGCCAAGGGGCCGGAGGGGGGCGAGGGGGCGGAGUGCGGGGGUGCCUCGGAAGGGGGAGAAGGCGGGCAGAACGGAGGCGACGCCGCCCCGGCCCGGCCCCCAGCCGGGGAGCCCCGCUUCUGGUGCCCAGAGUGCGGCAAAGGUUUCAGGCGCCGGGCGCACCUGCGGCAGCACGGGGUGACCCACUCAGGAGCGCGCCCUUUCCAGUGCGUGCGCUGCCAGCGGGAGUUCAAGCGCCUGGCCGACCUGGCGCGCCACGCACAGGUGCACGCGGGGGGCCCGGCCCCGCACCCGUGCCCCCGCUGCCCGCGCCGAUUCUCGCGCGCCUACAGCCUCCUGCGCCACCAGCGCUGCCACCGCGCAGAGCUGGAGAGGGCCGCCGCGCUGCAGGCACUGCAGGCCCAGGCCCAGCCGUCGUCGCCGCCGCCGCCCCCGCAGCCCCUGAAGGCCGAGCACGAGGAAGAAGGGCUCCCGCUGCCCCUCGCAAACAUUAAGAAAGAACCGCCCUCUCCGGGGACCCCACCCCAGUCCCCACCGGCUCCCCCUGUCUUCCUCAGCGCCUCCUGUUUCGACAGCCAAGACCACUCAGCCUUCGAGAUGGAGGAGGAAGAGGCAGACAGCAAGGCUCACCUGCGCGGGCUGGGGGGCCUGGCCUCCUGACCUUCGCCGCCCUGCCCUCCGCCGCUCCGCCUGAGCUCCCCGGUUUGCAGAAUGGAGGAGGGAAGUUGAAGGAGCCACCUCCUCUGUCUACCCACCCGUCCCCUUCACGCCCUUGACACUAAGGAGUGGGGGGCCCUGGACUGCCCCUCCCUCUCCCAUCGCCCACCCCCAGAACCCCUGAUGCUGGUUAGGAACCGCUCACCCCAACAUGUGUCUUAAGGCAGGACGACUUGGAAAAAAAGGCGGCGGACAGUUGGCCAGAGGGAUGGAGACUGGUGGGGACCCCCCGCCUGCCUGUCCCCCGUUACACACACUGGACACCAUCACCUGUUUGGAACUGCCAGACCCCGGGGGUCCCCAGUGAGCAAAGAGCAGGAAGGACACAGAUGCAUCAGAAAAUAUGUGGCCCUCAACCAAGCAAGAAGCCGGUGAAGGCUGGGUUGAGAAGAAACAGGAAUGUGAGAAGAUAGAUCAUGGUCACCGCUGCCCUGUGGAAGCUCUGCGCCGGUUUCUCAGUCAACCUCUACCACACCCUUACUCUGUGUCAGCGGUGGUACUAGGCACUGAGGAGAAGGAGUCCAAUACCCUCCUCUGAAAGAGCUGGAAUUCUAGCCCUGCAUUG